AACGAACGCUGGCGGCAUGCCUAACACAUGCAAGUCGAACGAGACGUUCGGGUCUAGUGGCGCACGGGUUCGUAACGCGUGGGAACCUGCCCUUAGGUUCGGAAUAACUCCCCGAAAGGGGUGCUAAUACCGGAUAAUGUCUUCGGACCAAAGAUUUAUCGCCUUUGGAUGGUCCCGCGUUGGAUUAGCUAGUUGGUAGGGUUAAAGCCUACUAAGGCGACGAUCCAUAGCUGGUCUGAGAGGAUGAUCAGCCACACUGGGACUGAGACACGGCCCAGACUCCUACGGGAGGCAGCAGUGGGGAAUGUUGGACAAUGGGCGAAAGCCUGAUCCAGCAAUGCCGGGUGAGUGAUGAAGGCCUUAGGGUUGUAAAGCUCUUGUACCCGGGAUGAUAAUGACAGUACCGGGAGAAUAAGCUCCGGCUAACUACGUG
rnacentral:rRNA from 1 species